CCCAGGGCACGGGCGCCCAGGGCACCGACGCUCAGAGCACCGAUCCCCAGGGCAUCGACCCCCAGGGCACAGACGCCCAGGGCAUCCACCGCCAGGGCACCGACGCCCAGGGCACGGACCCCCAGGGCCCAGGCGGAUCGAAGAGCCCCCCUCCCGCCUGAGGGAAGUCACCCCCAAGGAUCUGCAGCCCCCUUCCCCACAGAGUCCUUCGUCGUCGUCCCCCUCCCGCCCCCCACCAGAGACCAGGCCCGAGGCAUCCCGGCUUUUCCAUGCGCUUCUGUCCUAGCCGCACCCGGGCCGCACGGGAAGCGGCUCCAGGACAAGCUCCGACCUCUUCCCUCCUUGGCACGUCGCCCCCUCCUCCCUGCCGGGGCUCGAGGGCGAGCUGCCUUGCCCCAGUAAGGACAGUUCGGGGUUCGAGUCCCUCCUUCGGGGCCUCCGGGGUCAGGGAGGGGUGGGUGGGCUGCAGGAAGCUUGCCCAGAUGGCAACCUCCCUCUCCCGAGGGGCUGGGAUCGCCCCCCACCCCCCGACCUCUCUUUCGGGGAGCUGGGGGAUUCCUCCUUCGCUCUUCAAUCCCCUCGGGGGCCGAAGAGACCCACCCCGUCCGGUGAGUGUUCAUUGCCGUACUGCACUUUCCCAAGCGCUUAGUACAGGGCCCCGCACGCCGUAAGCGCUCGAUAGAGGCCAUCGAAUGACUGGACGGAUGAAUGGACUGCAAGCUCAGAAGGAGGCUCGGGCUGGGAGGCGAUGCGGGGGAGGGGGGCGUCUCCCCCGCUGCUCCAGAGGUCCGGAAUGCAUCUGAUCUCGGAGCUCGCUUUUCUGAUCUGAAGGCAGGGCUGUGUCCCAACGUUCAGCUGAUUGACCGCUCAACUCAUCUCCGCGCCUUUGCAGCCGGGACUCCAAGAAAGCUGCUCCUUCACUACCGGAGAGGUGCCGCCAUCCGAUCCUGCCCUGCGAGGCCCAUAUCCUGAAGAAAUCGCCUUCCGAUUGGCUGCAGGCAGCCGAACCGGAACGGUCUUGAAUGAUCCGCGUCGGGCAGCUCCAUCGAGGACGCAACCGCGUGAGGAGGCGACAAACCGGGCCGGGCCCCGCUCGGGCCGCUCGGCGCGGCUGGACGACACUGCCCUCUCCUCUCCCGCGGAAACGUAGCCUGCCCAAAUGCUCUUCGACGAGCCACGGGAGAGAUAUGUCACUCUACAACUACUGCUGUGUGUUAAGCGCUUACUAUGGGCCAGGCACCGUGGUAAGCGCUGAAGGGUGUUUAGGCCCAGGAGCGGAAACCAUGCGAGAUUCCACCGGUGAGCGCCUGGGCAGCCACGCCGAGAAUCCCGAAAGAAACUUUUUGAAGGGGAGAGGUUGGAACGAGUCCCUGAGAACAGCACCCUGGAUCCGGGUAAGUGGAGGGUAGGAGGGCCUCCCUCCCGCUCGGCGUCCCCCCCGUCGUGCCCCCUCCUUACCCCUCGGCCCUGAGAA